GACGAACCGUGCGAACGUUAUUCGGAUUGAUUGGGCUUAAAGGGCGCGUAGGCGGGCGACCAAGUCUGCGGGUGAAAGCCCCCGGCUCAACCGGGGAGUCGCCCGGGAUACUGGCCGCCGUGGAGGUGGGGAGAGGCGUCUGGAACUGCCGGUGGAGCGGUGAAAUGCGUAGAAAUCGGCAGGAACACCGGAGGCGAAAGCGAGGCGCUGGACCUAACCUGACGCUGAGGCGCGAAAGCCAGGGGAGCGAACGGG
rnacentral:rRNA from 1 species